CUGGUGAGGGGCGGGCCUCAGGCUCCCACCAAUCACAGCCUGGCUGCUCCGGGCGGUGGUCCAGGACCAUGUUAGGGACUCUGUGGUUCUAUGUCUUCAGGGAGGUGCGUUUGCUCUAAGAGCUGGCGACCGUGGCUGGGUUAGCGCUGGCAUCCUGAGGAAUGUAGCUCACCUGGGAUACCUUAUAGCACAAAAGUUUCUCCUCAGCCGUGUGGUGUCUUGGAAAGAACAUUGUUUCUAGAGUCAGAUAGAGCUGAUUUCAGAUUCCGGCCCUGCUACUUAGCUGAAAAUCUUUGGAGUCACAGACCAACGAUCUCAGUAGUGGCGCUGGGUGCUCCCGUUGCUGUGUUCCUCCGCGGCCGUGCCUGCUUCCUGAGCGGGACCAUGAAGGACGUUCGCAGUAGAGUUUUCUGUCGGCAAUUACUACAGGGAUAUUUGUCGUUUGGAUUUU
ensembl:lncRNA